AGUGAACGCUGGCGGUAGGCCUAACACAUGCAAGUCGAACGGCAGCACAGUAAGAGCUUGCUCUUACGGGUGGCGAGUGGCGGACGGGUGAGGAAUACAUCGGAAUCUACUUUUUCGUGGGGGAUAACGUAGGGAAACUUACGCUAAUACCGCAUACGACCUACGGGUGAAAGCAGGGGAUCUUCGGACCUUGCGCGAUUGAAUGAGCCGAUGUCGGAUUAGCUAGUUGGCGGGGUAAAGGCCCACCAAGGCGACGAUCCGUAGCUGGUCUGAGAGGAUGAUCAGCCACACUGGAACUGAGACACGGUCCAGACUCCUACGGGAGGCAGCAGUGGGGAAUCUUGGACAAUGGGCGCAAGCCUGAUCCAGCCAUACCGCGUGAGUGAAGAAGGCCUUCGGGUUGUAAAGCCCUUUUGUUGGGAAAGAAAAGCAGCAGGUUAAUACCCUGCUGUUCUGACGGUACCCAAAGAAUAAGCACCGGCUAACUUCGUG
rnacentral:rRNA from 1 species